rnacentral:rRNA from 1 species
UACGUAGGGGGCUAGCGUUGUCCGGAUUUAUUGGGCGUAAAGAGCGUGUAGGCGGCCAGGUAGGUCUGCUGUGAAAAACUCGAGGCUCAACCUCGAGACGUCGGCGGAAACCAUCUGGCUAGAGUCCGGAAGAGGAGAGUGGAAAUUCCUGGUGUAAGCGGUGAAAUGCGCAGAUAUCAGGAAGAACACCCGUGGCGAAGGCGGCUCUCUGGGACGGUACUGACGCUGAGACGCGAAAGCGUGGGGGAGCGAACAGG